GUAAGGAAUAUUGGACAAUGGACGCAAGUCUGAUCCAGCCAUGCCGCGUGAAGGAUUAAGGUCCUCUGGAUUGUAAACUUCUUUUAUAAGGGACGAAAAAAGGCUUUUCUAAGUCGUCUGACGGUACCUUAUGAAUAAGCACCGGCUAACUCCGUGCCAGCAGCCGCGGUAAUACGGCGGGUGCAAGCGUUAUCCGGAUUCACUGGGUUUAAAGGGUGCGUAGGAGGGCAGGUAAGUCAGUGGUGAAAUCCUAGAGCUUAACUCUAGAACUGCCAUUGAUACUAUCGGUCUUGAAUAUUGUGGAGGUAAGCGGAAUAUGUCAUGUAGCGGUGAAAUGCUUAGAUAUGACAUAGAACACCUAUUGCGAAGGCAGCUUACUACGCAUAUAUUGACGCUGAGGCACGAAAGCGUGGGGAUCAAACAGGAUUAGAAACCCUUGUAGUCC
rnacentral:rRNA from 1 species